GUGCUGGCAUUGGCAGCACAUAUAACAAGACUGAAACAACACAGAGAUUAGCGUGGCCUCUGUGCAGAAAUGACAUGCAAAUCUGUGAAGCAUUCUAUAUUUAA